UGGAAAUCUCAGAGUUUCAUCUUCUC
rnacentral:piRNA from 1 species